UGCUCCUGAUUGAUAAACAUUUGAGUGAGUGGCGGACGGGUGAGUAACACGUGGGUAACCUGCCCUAAAGUGGGGGAUAACAUUUGGAAACAGAUGCUAAUACCGCAUAAAACCUAACACCGCAUGGUGUAGGGUUGAAAGAUGGUUUCGGCUAUCACUUUAGGAUGGACCCGCGGUGCAUUAGUUAGUUGGUGAGGUAAAGGCUCACCAAGACCGUGAUGCAUAGCCGACCUGAGAGGGUAAUCGGCCACACUGGGACUGAGACACGGCCCAGACUCCUACGGGAGGCAGCAGUAGGGAAUCUUCCACAAUGGACGAAAGUCUGAUGGAGCAACGCCGCGUGAGUGAAGAAGGUUUUCGGAUCGUAAAACUCUGUUGUUGGAGAAGAAUGUAUCUGAUAGUAACUGAUCAGGUAGUGACGGUAUCCAACCAGAAAGCCACGGCUAACUACGUGCCAGCAGCCGCGGUAAUACG
rnacentral:rRNA from 2 species